UUGCUUUGGCAUCACCUAUAUUAAAAUUGGAAUGAUACAGAUAACAUUAGCAUGAUCCCUGCAUAAGGAUGGCAUGCAAAUUUGUGAUAUUUUAGUUUUU
ensembl:snRNA U6 U6 spliceosomal RNA